rnacentral:rRNA from 1 species
UACGUAGGGGGCUAGCGUUGUCCGGAAUCAUUGGGCGUAAAGCGCGUGUAGGCGGUCCGGUAAGUCCGCUGUGAAAGUCGAGGGCUCAACCCUCGAAUGCCGGUGGAUACUGUCGGGCUAGAGUGCGGAAGAGGCGAGUGGAAUUCCUGGUGUAGCGGUGAAAUGCGCAGAUAUCAGGAGGAACACCUAUUGCGAGGGCAGCUCGCUGGGACGCAACUGACGCUGAGACGCGAAAGCGUGGGGAGCAAACAGG